rnacentral:rRNA from 1 species
AGAGUUUGAUCAUGGCUCAGGACGAACGCUGGCGGUGUGCUUCACACAUGCAAGUCGAACGAGGUAGCAAUACCUAGUGGCGGACGGGUGAGUAACGCGUGGGAAUCUGCCUUUAGAUGGGGGAUAACGAGCCGAAAGGUUCGCUAAUACCGCAUAUGCCGUAAGGUGAAAGGAGUAAUCCGUCUAGAGAUGAGCCCGCGUCCGAUUAGCUAGUUGGUAGGGUAAAGGCCUACCAAGGCGACGAUCGGUAGCUGGUCUGAGAGGAUGAUCAGCCACAAUGGGACUGAGACACGGCCCAUACUCCUACGGGAGGCAGCAGUGGGGAAUUUUACGCAAUGGGGGAAACCCUGACGUAGCGACACCGCGUGAGCGAAGAAGCCCCUUGGGGUGUAAAGCUCUGUCGGCUGGAACGAAAAAAAUGACGGUACCAGCAAAGGAAGCAUCGGCUAACUACGUGCCAGCAGCCGCGGUAAGACGUAGGAUGCAAGCGUUGUCCGGAUUUAUUGGGCGUAAAGAGUUCGUAGGUGGUUUGUCAAGUCUGAUGUUAAAGAUCGGGGCUCAACCCUGGGACUGCAUUGGAUACUGGCAGACUUGAGUAUGGUAGAGGCUAGUGGAAUUCCCAGUGUAGCGGUGAAAUGCGUAGAUAUUGGGAAGAACACCGGUGGCGUAGGCGACUAGCUGGGCCAUAACUGACGCUGAGGAACGAAAGCCAGGGGAGCGAAUGGGAUUAGAUACCCCGGUAGUCCAA